CCGCCACCCUUUGAGCCAUGUGUGAAGCAAACAGGGACCCCAUGGAGGUUUAUCACAACUGAAGCCAGGGAAAUAAGCAAAAUAAGACCCAAAGCUUAGACAAAGCAGAAGAGAGAAAACAACUCACAUGGAAAAUGAAGACCCAAAGAAGAUCACUACAUUUGUGUUUCUCAUUUACCUCUAUGGCCAUGCUUGGAGUUCAGAUUGUUCCUGUGCAAGUUUCUGAAUCCAUUGGCUAAAUUUCAAUCAGAUCUUACAGCGCAGGGAAGAGGUUUCAAAGUUCAUCCAGGUCUCAGCAGAAGCAGAUUUGAAGGGCAGUGGAG
rnacentral:lncRNA from 1 species